rnacentral:lncRNA from 1 species
UUUAAAUCAUUGGAGAGUUAGCUUAAGCAUUUAGUUAGAUUUGUGAGAUUUCGUGUUAUUUGUGAGAUUUGUAAUUGGAUUAUUGGGUGGUGAAGAAGAUGAGUGAUUUUUUUUUUCUUUCAUGAAAUGCACUUUAAUUUGUUGGAACAAAUUGCAUGUCUAUGAUUUUUUUUUGGGAUGACAAACAGUGUGAAUAAGAAUAUUUAUACCAAGUGUUGGCGCAACAGACCUUGGGGCGAAUGGUGUAAAUAGGCCAUUUUGUAUCAUUCGUCCAAGGUAUUGUCGCAAUAGAUCUUGAAACGAAUUGUGCGAAUCG